rnacentral:misc_RNA from 1 species
UUUGGUGUGAGAUUAGAAGUUGGGGAAGAGUGGGAGAGCAAGAGAAAGAGAGCUAAGAUUAGAGAGUGUGCAACUAUUUUACUAUCUCAAUCAUGCAAAUAAAUUGUGUCAAUUAUAAUGUAGAAUUAAUUAAUUAAUAAGCAAGGAAGCAAUAUAGCUAGCUAUAGCUACUUGGAAUGUAAGUAGCUUGCUAGAUAGCAAGGAUUAGGCAUAGAUUGAAGUUAAUUAUGCUUUAAUGGUUGCAGUAAUGUGAACAGAGUAUAUAUAUAAAUAUAUACCUAUAUAUGCACAUUGUGGUGUACUUCAAAAGGAUGAUAAUAUGGGGCACAAGCCCUUUGAAUUACAAGUCUAUGUCAUAUAUUUUGAAGGAAUUUAAACCACAAAA